UGUGUUGAAUGUGGUGGCCAAUGUGGUGCCAAUUUCACGGUAGUUUUUGUCUUACUUGUUGUUAUUAUUAUCAUAGAUGAGGAAAUGCCUACAACAUCGUCAGAUUUACAUGAUGUUCCACAGGAAAUGUUAUGUGAUGACAGUGUGACUAAAAGAGAUCUUGAAGCUAUUCUUGAAAGCUCUUCGUUGGUUAUUCGAGAAGUGGAUACUGGGCCAUCUGCUUGGCAAAAAAGAAUGGAAAAUUGAGAAGAAAAUUGGAAAAGUAUGAGGCAAAAAUUAUUCAAUGUCACUGUGUCAUUAUUUCUUCCUCCUUUAUCUGCUAUGAAGUGUUGGAGAUGCAAUGAAAAUGAAGCUGUACUGAGAUGCAGACAAUGUGGUGUGUUGAGAUAUAUUUGUAGAGAAUGCGAUGAUGAUGUUCAUGAGAACAAUCCUCUCCAUGAUCGAGAAGUGUGGUUGGAUGGUUAUUUUCAAUAUAUCAAGCCAACACAAUCCAUUCCAUCUGAUGGAAAGAUUUGCAGCAUUGAUUGAUCAUGUCCCAUCCUUUACCCAUCAUCAUGUCAGUUGUGUAAUGCAUCUAUUAUGAAAAUUACCAACAGUUCUCUUGUGAUUAUGAUCACUUGUGAAGGUGAAAGUGUCCUUAUGCAAUUUUUUUACUGAGUCCAAAUAGCAAUUUUUAUUACAUGGAUGUACAUAUGAUGCAUCUUAUUAAAAUCUGAUUUGUUAGGGGCUCAUUACGUUAGGCAUGUUAGGGGCUGAUUAUUGAGAAAAAUACAUAGGCAGCAGGUUGGAUUGUACACUAAUUCAUAAACUUUAAAUUGAAACUAAAAACUUCAAAUCAUCAAUGAAGUUGCUGGCUUCUUAUGAAACCCCAGGAUUUGAAUUCUUGAAGUGCAUAUUUUCAGCGCUGUACUGGUUUUCUUUGAUUAUAUUUUGUCUUUAACAGGAC